CCUACGUGAGGCAGCAGUGGGGAAUAUUGGGCAAUGGGCGCAAGCCUGACCCAGCAACGCCGCGUGAAGGAAGAAGGCCUUCGGGUUGUAAACCUCUUUUAUGAGGGAAGAGCAGAAGACGGUACCUCUUGAAUAAGCCACGGCUAACUACGUGCCAGCAGCCGCGGUCAUACGUAGGUGGCAAGCGUUGUCCGGAUUUACUGGGUGUAAAGAGCGUGUAUUCGGGCUGACAAGUCAGGUGUGAAAUUCCGGGGCUCAACCCCGGACCUGCAUUUGAAACUGUUGGUCUUGAGUAGCGGAGAGGCAGGCGGAAUUCCUGGUGUAGCGGUGAAAUGCGUAGAUAUUAGGAAGAACACCAGUGGCGAAGGCGGCCUGCUGGACGGCAACUGACGGUGAGGCGCGAAAGCGUGGGGAGCAAACAGGAUUAGAUACCCCGGUAGUC
rnacentral:rRNA from 1 species